GCCUACGGCCAUACCACCCUGAGUAUACCAGUUCUCGUCUGAUCACUGAAGUCAAGCAGGGUCGGGCCAUGUCAGUACUCGGGCGGGUGACUGCCUAGGAACACAUGGUGUUGUAGGCU
rnacentral:rRNA from 1 species